rnacentral:rRNA from 1 species
CCCUUAGAUGUUCUGGGCCGCACGCGUGCUACACUGAGUAAAUCAAUGGGUAAGGGAACACGAAAGUGCAACCUAAUCUUGAAAUUUGCUCGUGAUGGGGAUCGACGGUUGCAAUUUUCCGUCGUGAACGAGGAAUACCUUGUAGGCGCGUGUCAUCAUCACGCGCCGAAUACGUCCCUGCCCUUUGUACACACCGCCCGUCGCUCCUACCGAUUGAGUGAUCCGGUGAGGCUCUGGGACCUGGACGGAAAGAGCGUUUCACUUGUUCUGUUUGGGAAACUUGGUCGAACCUUAUCAUUUAGAGGAAGGAGAAGUCGUAACA